GGUUAAGCGACUAAGCGUACACGGUGGAUGCCCUGGCAGUCAGAGGCGAUGAAGGACGUGCUAAUCUGCGAAAAGCGUCGGUAAGGUGAUAUGAACCGUUACAGCCGGCGAUGUCCGAAUGGGGAAACCCAGUGCAAUUCGUUGCACUAUCGUUAACUGAAUACAUAGGUUAACGAGGCGAACCGGGGGAACUGAAACAUCUAAGUACCCCGAGGAAAAGAAAUCAACCGAGAU
rnacentral:rRNA from 1 species